AUAACCCUGCGACGCUCGUUUACUUAAGAUGUCUCAAACCGAUGCGUAUAAUAAGGGAAUUCAAGAGAUCAAUGUGGAUAACAUGCCCGCAUUUAUGCGGGAAGUUAAAAGCAUUGCUGCGAAUACCCACCUGCUUGAGAGCGGGUUUUGAGACACUGUGGUGACGACGGAGCGGGACUACA
rnacentral:other from 1 species